GCCUACGGGGCGCAGCAGUGAGGAAUAUUGGUCAAUGGGCGGGAGCCUGAACCAGCCAAGCCGCGUGAGGGAAGAAGGUACAGCGUAUCGUAAACCUCUUUUGUCAGGGAACAAAGGCGGGGACUAGUCCCCGGAUGAGGGUACCUGAAGAAAAAGCAUCGGCUAACUCCGUGCCAGCAGCCGCGGUAAUACGGAGGAUGCGAGCGUUAUCCGGAUUUAUUGGGUUUAAAGGGUGCGUAGGCGGAGUGUCAAGUCAGCGGUAAAAUUUCGGGGCUCAACCCCGUCGGGCCGGUGAAACUGACGCC
rnacentral:rRNA from 1 species